UACAGAGGGUGCAAGCGUUGUUCGGAAUUAUUGGGCGUAAAGAGCGCGCAGGCGGUCGUUCAAGUCGCGUGUGAAAGCCCCCGGCUCAACUGGGGAGGGUCACGCGAUACUGAUCGACUCGAAGGCAGGAGAGGGAAGUGGAAUUCCCGGUGUAGUGGUGAAAUGCGUAGAUAUCGGGAGGAACACCAGUGGCGAAGGCGACUUCCUGGCCUGUUCUUGACGCUGAGGCGCGAAAGCUAGGGGAGCAAACGGG
rnacentral:rRNA from 1 species